AGCCGUGCCACCCUGAAUAUGCCUGAUCUUGUCUGAUCUUGGAGGCGAAGCAGAGUCAGGCCUGGUUAGUACCUGACUGGGAGACCACCUAGGUGCUGUAGGUGUUUAAAAAA
rnacentral:rRNA from 1 species